rnacentral:pre_miRNA from 1 species
UCUUAUGGAAUAGCAAAGAAAGUGUUUUCUUGAGAUGGAAUCUACUCCUGAUGAAGAUGCUGUGAA